CAACGAUGAAGAGUUUGAUCCUGGCUCAGGAUGAACGCUAGCGGCAGGCCUAACACAUGCAAGUCGAGGGGUAACAGGGAGCUUGCUCCGCUGACGACCGGCGCACGGGUGCGCACCGCGUAUGGAACCUGCCCUCUACAGGGGAAUAGCCCAGGGAAACUUGGAUUAAUGCCCCGUAGUACCGUUAUAUGGCAUCAUAAUUACGGUUAAAGCCUUCGGGCGGUAGAGGAUGGCCAUGCGUCCCAUUAGCUAGUUGGUAGGGUAACGGCCUACCAAGGCUACGAUGGGUAGGGGCCCUGAGAGGGGGAUCCCCCACACUGGUACUGAGACACGGACCAGACUCCUACGGGAGGCAGCAGUGAGGAAUAUUGGACAAUGGAGG
rnacentral:rRNA from 1 species